UGCCGGCGACCGGCGGACGGGUGCGUAACGCGUAUGUAACCUACCUUUGACAGGGGGAUAACAUCGAGAAAUUGGUACUAAUACCCCAUAACAUCACCGGAGGCAUCUUCGGUGGUUGAAAACUCAGGUGGUCAGAGAUGGACAUGCGUUGUAUUAGCUAGUUGGUGAGGUAACGGCUCACCAAGGCGACGAUACAGUAGGGGGACUGAGAGGUCAACCCCCACAUUGGUACUGAGACACGGACCAAACUCCUACGGAAGGCAGCAG
rnacentral:rRNA from 1 species